rnacentral:rRNA from 1 species
AUUGAACGCUGGCGGCAUGCCUUACACAUGCAAGUCGAACGGCAGCACGGGAGCAAUCCUGGUGGCGAGUGGCGAACGGGUGAGUAAUAUAUCGGAACGUGCCCAGUCGUGGGGAUAACGUAGCGAAAGCUACGCUAAUACCGCAUACGAUCUAUGGAUGAAAGCGGGGGAUCGCAAGACCUCGCGCGAUUGGAGCGGCCGAUAUCAGAUUAGGUAGUUGGUGAGGUAAAGGCUCACCAAGCCGACGAUCUGUAGCUGGUCUGAGAGGACGACCAGCCACACUGGGACUGAGACACGGCCCAGACUCCUACGGGAGGCAGCAGUGGGGAAUUUUGGACAAUGGCGCAAGCCUGAUCAGCAAUGCCGCGUGCAGGAUGAAGGCCUU